rnacentral:rRNA from 1 species
CAAUAGCGUAUAUUAAAGUUGUUGCAGUUAAAAAGCUCGUAGUUGGAUUUGUGGCGUACGGUGUGUUCCGGGCACUUGUUGUCUGAGUAACCUGCUGUUGCCAUCCUUGGGUGGAACCUGUGUGGCAUUAGGUUGUCGUGCAGGGGAUGCCCAUCAUUUACUGUGAAAAAAUUAGAGUGUUCAAAGCAGGCUUAUGCCGUUGAAUAUAUUAGCAUGGAAUAAUGAGAUAGGACUUUUUUGCUAUUUUGUUGGUUUGCGCAAAGAGGUAAUGAUUAAUAGGGACAGUUGGGGGUAUUCGUAUUCCAUAAUCAGAGGUGAAAUUCUUGGAUUUUUGGAAGACGAACUACUGCGAAAGCAUUUACCAAGGAUGUUUUCAUUAA